rnacentral:rRNA from 1 species
AAUCAACGCUGGCGGCGUGCCUAACACAUGCAAGUCGUACGCGAAAGGGGCUUCGGCCCUGAGUAGAGUGGCAGACGGGUGAGUAACGCGUGGAUGACCUGCCCUUGAGCGGGGGAUAACGUUUCGAAAGGAACGCUAAUACCGCAUGAUGUCCUGCCUUUGAAUAGGCGGUGACCAAAGCCGGGGACCGUAAGGCCUGGCACUUAAGGAGGGGUCCGCGUCCGAUUAGCUAGUUGGUGGGGUAAUGGCUCACCAAGGCUCCGAUCGGUAGCCGGCCUGAGAGGGCGGACGGCCACACUGGGACUGAGACACGGCCCAGACUCCUACGGGAGGCAGCAGUGGGGAAUUGUUCGCAAUGGGCGCAAGCCUGACGACGCAACGCCGCGUGGAGGACGAAGAUCUUCGGGUCGUAAACUCCUGUCGAAUGGGACGAAUGGCCCGGCCGUGAAUAACGGUCGGGAAUGACGGUACCGUGAGAGGAAGCCCCGGCUAACUCCGUGCCAGCAGCCGCGGU